rnacentral:lncRNA from 1 species
GUAUUUAUAAGCUAGAACAUUCGUUGUAAUAAAAACACAAUUUUAUCCAUUUGAUUAAAUAUAAAUAGCGUAAAUUCAUAAAUUCGAUUUGUAGGUAUUUUUUUGUUUUUUUUAUAUUGUCAUUGAAAUUGGUCAUUUACUCUAUAGCUGACGUUUGUUUAAGUCUAGUUGAAUAAAUAGCGUUGACAAUUCUUCCUUUUCGGAUCCAAUAUGACACCGCUUCUGGUUAUCGUAUUUUUGUUCGUUUUAUGUUUUGACAGACUUUUAAAUCUGUCAAAUCAAAGUUAUAUUUUUAAAAGAAGAAUGUGACUUAGUUGGUCACUUAGCAGCUUGUAAAAUCGGAAUUGUUGAUUUGAACGUCACCGCCGAAUUUUUUUAAACGUCUGAUUUUUUUGAAAAUAAGGAUUUAUCUGAUCCAUCCAUUAAUUUGGGAUCUAUAAAUCAGACUUUCGCAUAAACUAGUAAUUAUUGGAGUUGGCAAAAUUGAUUUUGAAGAUAUAUUACUAGUUUAGUCCAAUUUCUGGGAUAACAUACGGCUGUGGUGUCAUUUCUUCGAUUUGAUACGAAUGAAUGUUUGGUUUGAGGCCAGAAAACGGGUUUCUGUAUCGAAGUUGUACUGAAGACACGUGAUCCUCUGAAAGCUGGAAGACCCCAUCGAUUUUGG